rnacentral:rRNA from 1 species
AGAGUUUGAUCCUGGCUCAGGAUGAACGCUAGCGGCAGGCCUAAUACAUGCAAGUCGAACGGGAUUGGGGCAGUAGCUUGCUACUGCCGCAUGAGAGUGGCGCACGGGUGCGUAACGCGUGAGCAACCUGCCCAUGUCAGGGGUAUAGCCCGUUGAAAGACGGAUUAACACCGCAUGAAGAUGGUUUCCGGCAUCGGGGACUGUCCAAAUAUUUAUAGGACAUGGAUGGGCUCGCGUGACAUUAGCUAGUUGGUGCGGUAACGGCGCACCAAGGCGACGAUGUCUAGGGGCUCUGAGAGGAGAAACCCCCACACUGGUACUGAGACACGGACCAGACUCCUACGGGAGGCAGCAGUAGGGAAUAUUGGUCAAUGGGCGGGAGCCUGAACCAGCCAUGCCGCGUGCGGGACGAAGGCCCUAUGGGUCGUAAACCGCUUUUAUACGGGAACAACCGCAGCUACGCGUAGCUGUCUGAGUGUACCGUAGGAAUAAGGAUCGGCUAACUCCGUGCCAGCAGCCGCGGUAAUACGGAGGAUCCGAGCGUUAUCCGGAAUUAUUGGGUUUAAAGGGUGCGUAGGCGGCAUUUUAAGUCAGGGGUGAAAUACAGCGGCUCAACCGUUGCAGUGCCCUUGAUACUGAAGUGCUUGAAUGUGGUCGAAGGAGGCGGAACGGGACAAGUAGCGGUGAAAUGCAUAGAUAUGUCCCAGAACCCCGAUUGCGAAGGCGGCUUCCUAGACCAUUAUUGACGCUGAUGCACGAAAGCGUGGGGAUCGAACAGGAUUAGAUACCCUGGUAGUCCACGCCCUAAACGAUGAUGACUCGAUGUUAGCGAUAUAUUGUUAGCGUCCAAGCGAAAGCGUUAAGUCAUCCACCUGGGGAGUACGGCCGCAAGGCUGAAACUCAAAGGAAUUGACGG